rnacentral:misc_RNA from 2 species
AACGCACAUUGCGCCCCCUGGUAUUCCGGGGGGCACACCUGUUCGAGCGCCAUUUUCACCAUCGAGCCCUGCUCGGAGAUGGGCCUCGUCCUCGCGGACGGGCCCGAAACCCGUGGGCGCCAUUGUCCGGCCCUGAGCGUAGCAAGAGAAAUCCCUCGCUCGGUGGACCGUCCAGUGGCCGCCCCGACCAUUUUUACAAGGUUGGCCUCGGAUCAGGUGGGGAUACCCGCUGAACUUAA